rnacentral:lncRNA from 1 species
UGCGCGCCGCCGCCCUUCCACUGGUCCCCUCGCGCCACAUCAUCCCGACCCCAACCUCCCUCUAGCCCACAGUGCACCAUCCUCCCAGUAGCAGCAAGCCGUCCACCGCGGCAGGAGCAGCAGCGGCACCGAGGAGAAGCAGCGCCGUCAACCACCACCGGAUAGAUGCAGCAGCACCUUCCACCAGUGAGGAGAAGCAGUACCGUCAGCCACGGAGGAUCCACCGUGGUUUCCUGCUGAUCUUCUUUCCUCCGCCCAGCCUACAAAAUUAAAGAGGUAAGCUUUUGCCCCCAUUUUACUGAACUGAAACUGAAACAGAUAGAUCUAUCUUGCAGUGGUUGUUUUAGUUCAUCACAGAUAGAUCUCUGUUGCAAUCACAUGAACACAUCAGUUUUAAGCUAAAGCAAAUUAUUGUAGAUGUGUUUUGAAAAUCUUAAUUUGAUGAAACAAAGCCACUGGAAAAAAAACUUUUUGUGUCCCCACGUGGAUGUGCUUUUUGUCUCCACAUGGAUCGAAAUUCAUAUCGCUCUAUAAUGCCCUGCUCAGGGGAGAUCGGGAUGCUGCGCGCCGCGCCCUGCUUGGAUCUGAUGGAGCGGGGGAGAUAGUGGUCGGGGCAUGGGAUGGCGCCUUCGUCGUCAGACCAUUGGGAUUCAGCAUAUUUCUGCAGUCUUCUUUAGAGAUCAGGAGGGUUCGAUUCAACACAAUUCCGGGCUUGGGUUCCUGUCGAACAAAAUCAUCUCGACAGCAUUCCUCUUUCUUGCUUCUUAUUAGUCAAACUCUGAAAUCAAUUUCUAUAUUUUAGUGGGUACUUAAUUGAUUUGAUAGGCUAUAUCUACGUGUGAUGCAUCAACUAGGCUUUGUAAAUGGAUACAUAGUGUUUUCUGGUUAUUUUCUUCAAUAAUUAUGUGUUCCCAUUUCUCCCACUCAACAUGUUACAGAAUUUAGUGAUUAACAUUUAUCUACCGAAUUACAAUUCAGUCAAGCAUUACAAUCUUUAUGCCAAAACUAAACAAUAGAACAAAGUCUGCGUGGGAUUUGUAUUGCCAGCUAUGGCUUCAAAAAACAAAACCAAUAGUAAGUUAUUUAUGUACUAAUUCCCCUAAUGAUAUUAGCAUAUGUUGUUUGAAUUUAACUAUUGAAGAGCACAUGAAUGGUACUAGCAUCUAGGAUUGAGGGAUUAAAAGUUUACAAAAUUUCAAAGAAAUUGUAUGUUGGUUUCAUCUCUUUGUUGUUCUGAAAUUGCCGCCCUUGUUGAAUUGUUCUCUAUCACAUCUAAAGCAAAAUUUUACAGUUAGCAUAUGUGAUGGACUAUAUUUUUAAUUGGGGCUCGAGUAUAAUGGACUGGGAAUCAUUCUCUUAAUGAUCUGGUACUCUUGAACUCGUGCAUGAAACGUGCUUUUGUCAUAUAUAUUUCUCCCGAGGUUUGUGGGGAAUAAGAAAUUUAGAUAAAGAUAUGAUAUCUACACAUAUAGUAUAUCUUAAAGUCUGAAAGUCAGUCUUUCACUGUCCCUUUGAACCUUCUUCCCAACCUUUGAGGAUGUACAUAGCACCCUGCAGAGAUAACUUUUUUUAGAUGUGUAGAGCACUUCUUGAUGUUCAUCUUACCAGCUAGAUCUCACAUGUAACAACUAUGCGGUAGAAUAAACUUUUGCGAACACAAGAAAAAAUUGCAUUCUGCUGGAUUUUCUGUUACAGUUUUCAUGUUGUUUUUUUCCUGUUGAGGGGGACUAUUCAAAUAUGCUGAUGGUCUAAAAAAACCUAUGUAUACAUUAACAUCAAACAAUUAUGCAGAAAGUGGACCUUUUAAGUUCAGGAAAACCGCUUGAUGUCAUUUCACUCGGUAAAUGUCAGUCUGGUUUAGUCUUCUCUAAAGCUAUUUGACCCCAGCUACAUGGUCCAGUAGCAAUAACAGCCACAUGAUGGCCAAUUCAGAAAUACCUUUAGUGAUAUGUUGGAGUACAACCACAUGGUUAGAGUUUCCAUGUUAAAUCACUCCUUUCUUUUAUUAAUACUUAUUUGGUGAAGUUCUUGGCUGCAAUAUUACAAAGUUCAUGUGAAUGUUGUAUUGAAAAGAGAGGUGGAGCUUGCUUGUGGAUAUGAUGGAAUGCAAACAAUGGGCGAUGCUCACCACAUGUCCAUUGCAUGGCCAUCAAAUAGGGUAAAAAUAUAUUUUAUACAUUUUCCUAUUCUAGCGUAAACUAUCACCUGAUGCAAACUAAUUGUUAUUUUUGUAGAUCAAACCUUGCUCCAAGUCAUGGUUGUCGUCAUCGCAGAGUUCAGUUAUUAUUCCUGUCAACAUCACCAUGUUCUAUCUGACACUUGGAACUGAGAGCAAGUAGUAUACCACUACCAGUACCUCUAGUAGUGUGGAUCAACAUGUUUUUGCAAUUCUGUUGUCGAAAGUAUUUUAUUUUCAUUCAUCUAGUAUUGUGGAUCGGCAUGUUUUGUCUAGUUUAUAUUACAUCUGUUUGUGACCUGGUACAUCUAUUUCUGACCUGUUUGUGUCCUGGUGCAAUCUUCAAUGCUUGUUUUUCUAUUUCUCGUUCCUCGUUCUGUCCUAUGGAGAAUGGGGAAAACAUGUGAAAGCUCAAGAUCUUUCUGUAACUAAAAGUUCUAUCAUAUGCACUAGUUCAAUCCCAUUAAAGUUCCACUAAUGCACUAAAAUUUAUCAUUCCUGCAAUUGAUUCCUAGAAUUUACUGGCCUUAUCUCUCCACCUGAAUCUUUGGUUGAUUGUUCCUUCUAUACUGGAUCAUAUUUACUGGCCUUAUCUCUCCACAUGAAUCUUCGGCUCCCCUGCUAUUUGAUGUUGAAGAACUAACAAGUACCGAUGGUUUCCUUAGGUAGGAAACAUCAUUUUGUACUAUAUCAUCUCUUUUGGACUGAAAAUAUAGAACAUAUAUGUUUUGUACAGAACUUUUAGCAGCAGUCACCACACUAUUUUUUAUCAUGUCUUUUGGACUGAAAUAAAUAACAUUUUGUACAGUAUAUAACUAGCUAUGAGGAUGCUGAUUGUUGUUGCACAGGAAACAACAUUACAUAAUAAAAAUAUUCUUUGAGUUCUUAUUAUGGACUGACAAGGUACUGUAGCUUAGGGUUGUGUGUCAGAUUGAUAUAUUAUGGAAACCCCGCUCCCGAGCAGGGCUAGUACAAGAAUUAGUAAAACUUAUUGUUAAGCAAAAUGGUUUGCACGUCACUAACUUGGUAUAGAUCCAUAAGAAAACACUAACAUUGCUGAGAAUAGCUUCGGAUGCAAUACAGUCCAGAAAAUCACGUCUCUUCCAUCCUGCCCUCAUUUUCUUGCAUGUCCUUCUCAUUUUCUAAAAUUGCUCAAAGAUACAAGUUCUUUUGCAGGGACAAACGGGAGAAAGUAGCAUGUACUGAAGUUGAUCUAGGAUGUUCUGUUGUUCAUAUGGAAGUUGAUAUCGGCUUGAUCAAAGACCGGGUAUCUCCCAUAAUAUUUUGUAGUAGCCAAGUGAUCGAACAUUUGGUCUCUUGAGAACUUGCUCAUCAUAUUUUGUAACUGGCCAUGACCUGAAUGUCGACUUGUAUUUUUCCUUAAUGGCUGGAGCUAACUUGAGUGAAGAAAACUAGUGAAUCUUCUAUAUACUAGAUGACCCGUUGCGCCAAUGGCGCAAAGGCCGAAUGUAAGCCAGGUAUUGUAAGAAUGUGCAUUAACAUAUUGUUGUUCGAAAAGCGUAG